ACGCUCGACACCUACGGGAGGCGGCAGUGGGGAAUAUUGCACAAUGGGGGAAACCCUGAUGCAGCAACGCCGCGUGAAGGAAGAAGUAUCUCGGUAUGUAAACUUCUAUCAGCAGGGAAGAAAGUGGCGGUACCUGACUAAGAAGCCCCGGCUAACUACGUGCUAGCAGCCGCGGUAAUCUGAGCGGGCUGGCAAGGC
rnacentral:rRNA from 1 species